UCGAAGAGAGAGGUUCUCUAACGUUUCUUUUGCAGAAUUUUACCGGCAAAGAGAUUGGCUUAUUGACAUAAAUAUUACUCAUAAGAAUUUUCGGCUUAGUUUACCUUCAUAAUAUUGGCAGCAUUAUCGGUAACGACGGCAGCUAUUUUUCUUAUUAGGCCCCAUUCGGUCACAAUAUUUUUCAGUCCUUUUGCUAAAUUUUCGGCGGUAUGACUGGUUUCAAACGCAAUAGUGUUCAACACUCUUGAAACCAUUUUCCAUUUUUCCGACAAAUAGUGGACUGUAACGGUCAUAUAACCAUCAUUGGUUAAAGAAGUUCAGCAGUCUGUUGUCAGGGCGACAUACGGGACUUUUCUUUCCUUCAUCAAUUUCCCUUUUGCAUCCCUUUAAUUAUGUAAAUUUAGUAAAUCAUAUUUAAAAUUAAAUUUAUGAAAGCGGUAGACAACCUAUAUAGUUGAGGCAAAAUUGUGUGUGUAAUGGUGCCGCAACACGGAAGAGUCAACCGCGGAUCAUUGUGGCGGAUAAGGUCGGAAAAAUGUUGAUUUUUCACCAGUGACAACGGCUGCAUAUUCCGGGAAAUAUAUAAAACCAGAGCCACGAAAAAAGCCUGCAAUUUUACACUUGAUGUGGAAUAAGGCAUAUUGCCUAUAUCUAUAUUACUACCUAUGUGUAAAAGCAAAUCAAGUUUUAUACAUAGCAACAUAUCUCUUUUAAAUUAUGUUCAUCACUAUCAAUUCGCAACUUCUAUUUCAUAAUUUUCUUAAUCUUACUAUUUGAUGUUGAACUUGUCGUCGACGAACUUAUUGAUUCAGACGUUGUUGGAGCAGUAGCAGAUGGUAGUGGAGCAGACGACGAUAUCGAUGGAACUGGAUCAUCUGCUAACGUAGCAUUACUGCCCAUUUCCUCAUUUUCUUCGGUAUCUGUGCCGUCAAGCAGUCGGUUAGGUCGGCUUGAAGUCUUCUGUUUUUUUCUUUUAGGUUGACGUUUGUCUUUGAUGUUGUUAUAAGCCUCUAUGUGCAAGGAUUCUUUGCUUUUUUCAAGAUUUGACCAAAGGUUAGAAGUGUUCGCUCUAAAUUCCCGAAGUUCUUGGUACAAGGUACAUCGCCAAAAUCGUUUAUCCUCCACCACGAUAUCCUCGAAAUAAUCCCAAACGACACUUGUUUUCCGCUUUGGCAUUACUAUAGGUUAUUGCAACCUACUACCAGUCAGCACUCAACACGAAAAAAGCUCAACUAUUCAUCUAUCACUACAUUAAACGAACAUUCUAUCACUACAUUAAAUCAAUUAAAAAGUAAAGAUGAUGAGAUUUAAAAAAGACAUUUGGGAAAUGGUAGACGAGAGGGUUAAAUGAGGGAGGAAGGUGGUGGAAGCAUGGCUCAUGGCCGCUUUUACCGGGUCUAAACGUACAUUAGACGACAAAAGUUACAUAUGGACAUCAUCUUUACUUUUUAAUUGGUUCAAUUAUUUUAUUUAUUUGUUAACGAAGGGUUUCUCUUCGUUCCAGUGAAUUGUUGAUUCUGUGGUGCGUCUUGUGACUUGAACAGCCGACGUUCGCCAUUUCACUUCUCUUUGUACGACACACACGUUCACACACGUGGACAGGCCCAUUUUCCCCCUCGUGCAGCCACUAUAGCAAGGCAGAAGCGACACAAGGGGACCAAAAGCCACCGAAAACAAAAUCCCAAAUCGCCACAAUCGUUAGCCUCCAAAUAGGCAAUGAAAUCCGUAUCCACGGCUUCCAUGAGAACUCUAAGUUCUUUAAAUCGAGCUUUCCCUGGCCAUUCCACAUCUAUUGGAUUUUUAUUUUCCUUACCAAAGACUGCUAUCAUCGUCGAUCCAACCAUAACCGACAGAAAAAUGAUGAGACACAAAAUGUCUUUGCAUGACCUUUCUCUUGUAACAAAUUGAUCGUGUGCCAUUAUUUGUGGAUUGACUGGAUUCUAAAGAAAAAUAAGUAUAAAAAAAUACAUUGC
rnacentral:lncRNA from 1 species